GACGAACGCUGGCGGCAGGCCUAACACAUGCAAGUCGAGCGGAUGAAGGGAGCUUGCUCCUGGAUUCAGCGGCGGACGGGUGAGUAAUGCCUAGGAAUCUGCCUGGUAGUGGGGGAUAACGUCCGGAAACGGGCGCUAAUACCGCAUACGUCCUGAGGGAGAAAGUGGGGGAUCUUCGGACCUCACGCUAUCAGAUGAGCCUAGGUCGGAUUAGCUAGUUGGUGGGGUAAAGGCCUACCAAGGCGACGAUCCGUAACUGGUCUGAGAGGAUGAUCAGUCACACUGGAACUGAGACACGGUCCAGACUCCUACGGGAGGCAGCAGUGGGGAAUAUUGGACAAUGGGCGAAAGCCUGAUCCAGCCAUGCCGCGUGUGUGAAGAAGGUCUUCGGAUUGUAAAGCACUUUAAGUUGGGAGGAAGGGCAGUAAGUUAAUACCUUGCUGUUUUGACGUUACCAACAGAAUAAGCACCGGCUAACUUCGUG
rnacentral:rRNA from 1 species